rnacentral:rRNA from 1 species
ACGUAGGAGACGAGCGUUAUCCGGAUUUACUGGGUGUAAAGCGCGUGCAGGCGGUUUGUUAAGUUGGAUGUGAAAGCUCCCGGCUAAACUGGGAGAGGUCGUUCAAAACUGGCAGACUAGAGUGUGGUAGAGGAGAGUGGAAUUCCGAGUGUAGCGGUAAAAUGCAUAGAUAUUCGGAAGAACACCAGUGGCGAAGGCGACUUUCUGGACCACAACUGACGCUCAGACGCGAAAGCCAGGGUAGCAAACGGGAUUAGAGACCCCGGUAGUCCUGGCAGUAAACGAUGUGAACUUGGCGUCGGCGGGAUAAAACCUGUCGGUGCCGAAGCAAACGCGAUAAGUUCACCACCUGGGGACUACGGCCGCAAGGUUA